rnacentral:rRNA from 1 species
GGGGGGGGGGGGGGGGGGGGUUGGGGCAGGGAAGGCGGACGGGGAGGGCGGGCGGGGGGGGGGGGCUCGAGGGGCGAACGGGGGAGUAACACGUGAGUAGCCUGCCCUUGACUUUGGGAUAACUUCAGGAAACUGGGGCUAAUACCGGAUAGGAGCUCCUGCUGCAUGGUGGGGGUGGGAAAGUUUCGGCGGUUGGGGAUGGACUCGCGGCUUAUGAGCUUGUUGGUGGGGUAGUGGCUUACCAAGGCUUUGACGGGUAGCCGGCCUGAGAGGGUGACCGGCCACAUUGGGACUGAGAUACGGCCCAGACUCCUACGGGAGGCAGCAGUGGGGAAUAUUGCACAAUGGGCGGAAGCCUGAUGCAGCAACGCCGCGUGCGGGAUGACGGCCUUCGGGUUGUAAACCGCUUUCGCCUGUGACGAAGCGUGAGUGACGGUAAUGGGUAAAGAAGCACCGGCUAACUACGUG